AUCACCAAUAUUUACCUCAAAUUUUAUUUUAUUUUAGUUUAGUUUAGUUUUCUUUUAGCUUUAAAUGCAUGGGUGCUUUGCAUGUGUGUCUCUGUACUGUGUGCAUUUCUGAUGCCCAAGGAGACCAGAAGAGGGCCACAGAUCCACUGGAAGUGGAGUUGCAGUGGAAUGCCUCGGCUCACCCUUGGAAAAAGUUCCUGCAGAAAAAGCUGUAUGGAAGUAGGCAAAUCCUUUGCAGAUGAAAAGGAAACCCUGCCUUUCCUUCUCGGUUGGGAGAGCUCCAAACAACACAUGUGCUAAGGUACAAGCACCGUGGGAGCGCAAACCUCGUCUUAAUUUGCAGCUCCUGGAGAAAGGAGGCUGGAGGGCGAGCAGGGGCCUCUUCUCCUCAGUGUCAUUCAGGGAAGGCUCACUGGUGGGAGUGUGCAAGAGCCCCUCAGUGCCAGGCCACACUUACUAUCCAGUCCUCCCGGAGAAAGACUUUAUUAAAGAAAUCAAUAGGUGUGCUACCAGUGAGUGGUGGGGCGGUGGGAAUAUAUCCUGAAAAGAAGCUGCGUCUGCCUGGGAACCUACAACUCCUGGAAGGCGUUUCUGUGUCUGCAGAGACUGAUGGCCCGGUAGGAAUUUCAGUACUGUGAAGAGGCUGGAAUUUUGUUAAGUUCAGAGGGUAAUGACUCUCUGUUGGGCUAGUUUUAACCUUCUGGAACAGCUGCUCCUUGGCCCACUUCGUAUCUGACCUAACACCCACUCUGAGAGCUAAGAAUGUCAUCAGGUAUCAUCUUGGGGUUAUAAAACAGCUUCCCCAUCUUGCUGUCCCUCCCUCUGGUGCACCCACCCAUGUGUUUUAAACUUGCCUCAAUGCGUGACUGUCUUUGUUCUAUAAAUCUAUGAGAACCCUCUGAAACAGCUUCCACAUUGGAACAUGGAAUUUGGGUAACCGAAAUCUGUGUUCCACGCCAUGAUUACUCAAAAUGGUUCCAGAAUAAUCUAUCUCUUAUUCCUUUAAGAUGAGAGAUGUGGUCUGUCAGCAGCAGGAAGCGGGGUAGGUCUCCUCCUGAGGAAACAUUCUACUGAGUUUUGAGGGCUGACAGUUCUCUGCUGACAUGGAACCCUGCCCAUCUGUCACGGGGUUCGUGAGUCUCCUCUGAGAAGCCAUUUUUUUUUCCUGUCUGUACUUGAAAGAUUUCCCCACAGCCCAAUCUAUGGAAAUUCCUGCCAGUUAAACCUUAAAGCCUGUGUCUCCCCCACUGGUUUCUCAAAUCCCACCUAUUCCCAUCUCUUUGUAACUGUAACUGCUGUGGAAUGCUGAACACUUUCUCCCCACCCAACUCCUCCCACAAACCCUGCCUGGACAUGCCAUCCCCAAUCCCAGCACGUGGGCAGCUUUCUUUGGGAGAGAGUUUUAUGACCAUCUCCUCAGAAGACAGAAAACCAGGACCUGGGAAGAGGACAGAAGUUCCAGGACUCCCCCAGCUGUCUCCUUACCUAGGUCUCUCGUUCACACUGCACUGUGACAAGCAAGCUGUUCUUCAGAACUCGUCCCCUUUUCUCCCAGCCUCUCCUCCUGUCUUCGAGACAACAUCUCCUGCCAUCAGUGAGAAGAGACUUACUUCAGAGCUGUUCGAUUCUUCCUUGCUGAAUAUCUGCUUUCCAGUCCAAGAAAACAGCAAUGUCCAACCGCAGGAGGAACACGACUGUAUUGUACUUACAGGUUUAAGCUUCGACUGCCUUGCAUGGGUUUUUAUAAUCAGAUGGAUUUCUCUCCAUCUGAAUCAGUUAUCUCCUGCCGCACGUGGGGGUCAGAAAACAGAGCAGACCAGACCACAGAAAGAGCUGCCUGGUGCUGACUGCCCGGUGCUGAGCCGAUGUCUAUCAGCUGGCUGGAGGAUUCAUUUAUUCAUCCCCUACACACUUAAUUCAUUCCCUACAUUCAUUCACAUUUAUUCAUUCCCUGCACACUUAAUAAUAAUGUAACCUGAACUUCAGAUUAUACUAACUAGCAGACCGUUUUCAAUUAGACCAUGAGGCCUUUCAGAAAAACAUUGAUCCCAGCCUGCCGCUGUCUAUCUUGUGAUGUUGGCAAGCUCAGCUAGUGCCUGUUUGGCCUCGGAGUCUUCAUUGCAUCUGAUGAGUAGAGAGGGACGUUCAAAGCCACCGAUUGACCUUCUUCUGUGUUCAACAAAUGUAACAUGCACAGCCCUACAAGAGGUAGCGGGGAGCUCAAAGAUGGAGAAGCUGGGGCUUCUUAGGAGGAAUCCAUUUGCAUAACUUGCUCGACCUCGUAAGUUACGCAAAUGGAGGAAGAUUUGGAAACACCCCCACUAAAAAGAAUACCAAUAAACAGGAGGAAGUGGGGCAGGCCUCAUGGAGCAGAGCAGCUGUGCUGAGCUGACGUAGGAGUCGGAUCUCAGUGGGCCAACAGAGGGGCCAGUUCAGGCAGGGAACAUGAGGAGCCAUGGCACAGACUGGGACAUCCAAGAGGCUCAGGGAGCCUGGCAUGCUCAUUCGUGACGGCAGCUGAUGGAGCAAGCAGGGAGCAAGGGAGAUGGGCUCGAAAGGUUCUGUGAGGUCAGAGCAGAGAGGCCAAGAGCGAAGCAUGGUGAGGAGCUGGGCCAGGGAAAGUGACCUCACUGGCUAAGCUUGACUGAGCCCUGCCCCUCCUUAGACCGCCUGGGUGAGGGCCCAGAGCGGGGGCAAGUGGCAGCAACUGGCAGGGAGGGGGCUGGCAGCUCCGCCAAGCUUGUUUCUUCACCAGGAAACAAAGUUUCCUGUAACUCAGGCCCAUGAAUCAGCAUUUCCUCUGUCAAUAAUACCCAGCAAGAGAUACAACAGCUCAGAGCUUGGGGGAAUGGAAGAAAGGAAGGAAUAUUCCAUGACACCACAGCCUCUGCUUGCCUUUCCUUACUGAUAAGCUCCCAAAUAGCAUUCAGAUUUCAUAAGGUCCUUUUUCUCUGAGCAGUUCCCAGUCCCCAUGAAGACAAUCCCUGGCUUUCCUUGCCCCAUAAGGAGUCUCUGUUACCAAGAGGAGCCCGCUCUUCAAUUCCCCUCUUGGUGUGGGGCAGAACCAGAGGUGUUCUGACUUGGCAGUGAUUUGCAUAUGUGUGUGACUUGCCUUUGAAUCUUGGCACGUCUGUGUCAUGGUGCUCUUAAACUAGCUCAAUAAUCCCACGAGGUCCACUGGGAGUGCGCAAACUACUUCACUUCCCAAGACACCACAUCAAGACAAAAAGGGGAAAUGCUGUCUUGUCUUGUUUACAAGAAGCUAUGCCUGACCUGGAUCCUCAAAAUCUCCCACCCAGGAGCCUUUGCAAAGUCACAGGCACUGCAGAAAUAAGGGCAUCUAUAAAACACUUAAUAUGUUUAUCUCAAGUCUAGGUAAUAAUGGCAGUUGAACCAAUAAAAUAUUUAAUAGACUUAAUUUAUAGUAGUAAAAUAGUAUAUGUGUGUGUGUUUUACCUAUCACUAAAAAGAAUCAUAUUUGCUCUCUUACCACAUUUAUCCUGCCAGGCUCUGUCCUAGAUAUGCUCAGAAGUGCACAAAAACAGACACCGAGUCCUGCCCUCCAUCAAACUUGUGAUCUGGUUUGUGCAAGGCAGACACUGAGUAAGAGACAAGAGUAGACCAAGCUGAAGAGAUCCAUGCGCACCAUGUGUGGACCAGAGAGCACAGAGAAUUGGCCCAUUGCUAUAGGAACUGUCUACAAGGCCAGCAGAGGGAGACCCCAUCACUGAUGUCAGAUUCCAGACAGGUUCGUCUCAGCUGGGCCCCAGGACGCAGCAGAUUUCCCAGGCCCAUCUUUAUCUUCGGAGGACAGCCCAUAGCAAGAAUGAGGCAAGAGGCCCCAGGAGAAGGAGAGAGCAACUGACGAUGUUAGCUCUAUUUGCAAAGGCUCACUCCAUAAGCACAAGGGUUCAUGACCUUGCUUUGUACCAGACUCACCUCUGAGGGUGAGCAAUGUGGGCGUAGGGCUGAUGAGGAUAUGGUCUGAAGGACGUGAGAGAACAAUGUCUUCACACUAGAAGCCAAUGUUCCUUCACUUUUUGUUCCUACUCUUUAUUAAUCCCAUGGGUUUCGCAGGCAAGCUCAUAUUUAGUUCAACCCCAUACUGCCCAUCCCACCUCCCUCCUACCUUGAAGAAUUUUGUAAAAUAAAAAAAUGUUUGUGUAGUUUCUCCAAAUUUAGUCUCAAUGAGUGGUACAAUUCGGCUCCUGCAAGUCUUCCGUGAGUGUCUGCUUUGCCUCACAAUGUCCAGAGAUUAGAGCAGACAAACCCCAGAUCAGCAAUGGACAAUGGAUGGAGAAUUCCCUUGUCAUCAAGCAAGGAGUAAAGGAGAGAGACGCUGUCCUCCAGAGAGAGGCCUGAGAGCAUCCGAUCGGCCAGGAGAUAUGACCAUGAUGGAGAAUGAGGAAGGUAAAGCAGUUCUUUGGCUUUCGUUUCUCACUCAUGCAUGUCUACAGACAGCCUGGUCAUUCUGCCACCACCAUCACCAUUGGGGUCAACUCUGAACUUUUAUUUGAAAGCAGCCUUUUAUGUCAACAGGAUUGCUGUUGGAAAAAUUAUAUGGCCAUUCUGUACACCUUUUUACCUAGCGUUCCCAGAUGUUAGCUUUCUGUCAAACUCUACUACAAUAUAAUAUGGUGAUCAGUUAUCAUUGAUGUUAGAAUAGUGCUGCCCAGUGAACAUCCAUUGCCAAGGAAUCCUUCACUACUGCUUCAUAGGAUCCAUGUGCCAUUAUCAUUGGCUUCUCAGUCUGCCCCAAUUGUCAACCACAUUCAGAGGGUCCAGUUUGAGCCCAUGCCCAUUCAGUCCCAUCCAGCUGGCUUUGGUGAGCUCCCAAUAGAUCAGGCACACUGUCUCAGUGGGUGGACCAACCCCUCACGGUCCUGACUUCCUUGCUCAUCUUCUCCCUCCUUCUGCUCUUCAACUGGGCCUUGGGAGCUCAGUUCAGUGCUCCCAUGUGGGUCUCUGUCUCUAUCUCCAUCCGUCACCGGACAAAGAUUCUUUCUGGAUCCUCACAGCACAGGAACAGGGCCUCUUGCCUGGCUCAAAGCACCUCUCAGUCACCUGAAUAAAACAUUUUAAAAAAUUAAAAAGUCCAUUGUAAAGAGGAGAUCCAUCCAGAAUACUAAUCAGUAGCUGCUGAUUAUUGCUGGGUUAAAUCUUGUGAAUGAAUGCCCUUCAGUUUGUCCACCUACUGAAGGGCACCUAGGUUAUUUCCAACUUGGGGCUAUUAUGAAUUUCAUGGUGUUUUCUGGAGCUACUAUGAAUUUCCUGCUUAGGGUUUCGUCUGAGCACAGGUCUUCCUUUCUUGAGGAUAAAUACUCGACGUACACUUGUUUUGCAUAUGAAAGCUUGUUUCUUUUGGCUUCAUUUUAAGAUUUAUUUUACUGUUAAUUCUGUAUUUGUGUCUGUCUACAUGUGGGUAUAUGCACUUGGAUGCAGGUACAGCCAGAGCCCAGAGGCAUCUGAUCCCCUGAAGAUGGGUGCAAACCACCUGAUGUGGGUGCUGAGAACCAACGCAGGUCCUCUGUGAGAGCAGUCCACACUUUUAAACACCGAGCUGCUCUCCAGCCAGCGUC